CAGGCAAGGGGAUCGGCUGAAUGGUUUUGGGGUUCAUGGAGACUGGAAGAUGACAUUCCCAAGAGGAAACCUUUCUCAAAUUCUUGCAGACACACCUAGAGACUAGCUACAGCCUCUGUUUCCUCUGGAACUGAAGUGAUUGAAAUGGCGAAGCUCCUCACAACUCAAAAUAGCUUCAGGAAAUCCCCGAAACUGACCAGAUUCACUAGGCCGCUCCCUGGCAGAUGCACAAAUGUCCCACAACAUUUCUCACAUAAUCGAAGUUGAAAAGAAGACCCUGGGACCAGACCAGCUGCCUGCAAGAAGCAGAAACCAGCUGAUCUGCCUGGAAGAGGGUUAGGCCAACUGAGGCACCUGGAAGGGACUCUCUCCAACCUGCUGAGCUGCCUGCAGGCUGUGCGGUGAGUCCCAGAUUUCCCAGCUUUGUGAGCUGUCACCCAUGCUGGGGUGGGCCCUGAUGAUGCAGCUGCCUUCAAAUCAUUUCUGCUCCUGUACGUAACCUCUCACCCAUAUCC